UACAGAGGGUGCAAGCGUUGUUCGGAAUUAUUGGGCGUAAAGCGCGUGUAGGCGGCUUUGCAAGUCGGGUGUGAAAGCCCUCAGCUCAACUGAGGAAGUGCGCCCGAAACUGCAGAGCUUGAGUGCCGGAGAGGGUGGCGGAAUUCCCCAAGUAGACGUGAAAUUCGUAGAUAUGGGGAGGAACACCGGUGGCGAAGGCGGCCACCUGGACGGUAACUGACGCUGAGACGCGAAAGCUAGGGGAGCGAACAGG
rnacentral:rRNA from 1 species